UGGGGAAUUUUGGACAAUGGGCGAAAGCCUGAUCCAGCAAUGCCGCGUGUGUGAAGAAGGCCUUCGGGUUGUAAAGCACUUUUGUCCGGAAAGAAAUCCUUGGCUCUAAUACAGUCGGGGGAUGACGGUACCGGAAGAAUAAGCACCGGCUAACUACGUGCCAGCAGCCGCGGUAAUACGUAGGGUGCAAGCGUUAAUCGGAAUUACUGGGCGUAAAGCGUGCGCAGGCGGUUUGCUAAGACCGAUGUGAAAUCCCCGGGCUCAACCUGGGAACUGCAUUGGUGACUGGCAGGCUAGAGUAUGGCAGAGGGGGGUAGAAUUCCACGUGUAGCAGUGAAAUGCGUAGAGAUGUGGAGGAAUACCGAUGGCGAAGGCAGCCCCCUGGGCCAAUACUGACGCUCAUGCACGAAAGCGUGGGGAGCAAAACAGGAUUAGAUACCCUGGUAGUCCACGCCCUAAACGAUGUCAACUAGUUGUUGGGGAUUCAUUUCCUUAGUAACGUAGCUAACGCGUGAAGUUGACCGCCUGGGGAGUACGGUCGAAGAUUAAAACUUAAAGGAAUUGAC
rnacentral:rRNA from 1 species